rnacentral:rRNA from 1 species
UGCAGCAGGCGCGAAAACUUUACAAUGCAUGACAGUGCGAUAAGGGGACUCCGAGUGCGAGGGCAUAUAGUCCUCGCUUUUGUACACCGUAGGGAGGUGUACGAAUAAGGGCUGGGCAAGACCGGUGCCAGCCGCCGCGGUAAUACCGGCAGCCCGAGUGAUGGCCGCUAUUAUUGGGCCUAAAGCGUCCGUAGCCAGCCAGACAGGUCCGUCGGGAAAUCCAGUCGCUCAACGAUUGGGCGUCCGGCGGAAACCAUCUGGCUUGGGGCCGGAAGACCUGAGGGGUACGUCCGGGGUAGGAGUGAAAUCCUGUAAUCCUUGACGGACCACCAGUUGCGAAAGCCCGCCAUCAAAAGCGACCCACAUUUCGCACUCCCCGCCCGCG